rnacentral:rRNA from 1 species
ACGUAGGAGGCGAAUGUUAUUCGGAUUUACUGGGCGUAAAGAGCGCGUAGGCGGAUAUGCAAGUCGGGUGUGAAAGCCCGGGGCUUAACUCGGGAACGGCGUUUUAUACUACUUGUCUUGAGUGUGGUAGAGGGGGGUGGAAUUCCCGGUGUAGCGGUGAAAUUCGUAGAUAUCGGGAGGAACACCAGAGGCGAAGGCGACCCCCUGGGCCAUACCUGACACUCAGAUGCGAAAGCUUGGGUAGCAAACAG